GACAUUAAGAAACAGCAAGGAUCUGGUCAUGGAGGUCCUUGAAGGCCAACAAGCAAGCAAAAUAAAAACAGCCUUCAGGAUUUCAGCAGCCUUGUAAAUCCUAUCGGCAGGAUUUCUUCCUGCGAUUUGAACCCCUUCUCCACCGAAUCUGAAAUCCAUCUUUUGGGACCUAAAAGUACACUUGAUGAAGACUUUAAAAAAUAAAAUAUGGAAUUUGAAACUCUUCUUGGAUGGC
rnacentral:lncRNA from 1 species